UAAUCACACAAAAUAGUUGGCUAUGCUCUAAGGUUCCCAGCCAAAAAAUGUUCUAUCUGCACAAUUUUCUGUUCAUUUUUAGCUUGCGUUUCGGUUGCCGUCUUAUAGGAUUUAUUGAGAUUUGUCUGUAUGGCUAUGGAUUCUAUUAUUUGGUUAACAAAUAUGGCUUCUCGCAAAUGCUGGAAUCGAUGAUUAUAAUAUCUCUGGGCACUUCCUGUCUGCUAUCGAUUCUGAUGUUGAUCUCUACGCUGCAGGACCACGAAUCAUCCGGCAUUAUCUUCACUUAUCUAAUGUGGGGCAUUUUCACAACAAUUUUCUUGGCCGUAUUCUACUUGAUAACCUUCAAGUCGGGCCGAAAAAUAAGUUUGGAAGUAUUCUUGGGUCUACUAUUGGGCACAACAAUUGCCAAGUGCUAUUCCAUGCUGGUGGUACUAUCAUUCCUCCAUAUGAUGGUAAGUUCCGAUAGUGAAGAUUCCUCUUAAAGACGCCUCGGACAUCAAAAUAGAGAUGGAAUAGAAAACAUUAUUCAUAUGUGAAAUGCCCAAUGUCCACUCUUAGACAGCUGUUUUAUUAAAGUGCAUUUAUAUAUUUUGUAUCUAUACAAAUAACGCUCUCUUCCUGCACGAUUGAUGAACUGACCGAUUCAUGGUCAACGCAAAGUUCAAGGUGGUAGGGAUAGAAAGCUUCUUCCAGAUGGAACUAGUAAUGGAAGCCCGUACUGAAUAUCGUAUUGAAAGAUCAAACUGGAAAAUUUUGAUUCUACAAGGAAAUAUCGAAAAAUUUUAAAAUUUUAAAAAAUAUUCACAACGCCAUUUAAGAAUUAGAGCUACAAUAUUUAAAACUAUAGGCCAGAAAACCAUUCCAGAAAUGUGCGGCUAGAACUGGAAACAAGAGUGUCGAAUGUCACUAAUGUGUCAAGAACCAGCAAAUAUUUUCAGUAAUCUGGUAUAAAUGGGAAUAGCUUGCUUUUGCUAUGGGUUCCAAUCACUAUGAUCACCAAGGAGACAUCUUCAAUAACUUAAUGACUUCUGUAUUUUCAGCCUGAGCAGGCUUUGCUAAGAAGAAAUUUGUUUGUUUCGUUUCCUCAAGUUCAGACAGUGUAUACAAUCCCACAAAGAGAUUAUAACAAAUGUAUUGAAAUUCACGAAUAAUACAAAAAUUACAAAAAA